rnacentral:rRNA from 1 species
GACGAACGCUGGCGGCGUGCUUAACACAUGCAAGUCGAACGGAAAGGCCCUGCUUUUGUGGGGUGCUCGAGUGGCGAACGGGUGAGUAACACGUGAGUAACCUGCCCUUGACCUUGGGAUAACUUCAGGAAACUGGGGCGAAUACCGGAUAGGAGCUCCUGCUGCACGGUGGGGGUUGGAAAGUUUCGGCGGUUGGGGAUGGACUCGCGGCUUAUGAGCUGGUUGGUGGGGUAGUGGCUUACCAGGGCUUUGACGGGUAGCCGGCCUUAGAGGGUGACCGGCCACCUUGGGCCUGAGAUACGGCGCAGACUCCUACGGGAGGCAGCAGUGGGGAAUAUUGCACAAUGGGCGGAAGCCUGAUGCAGCAACGCCGCGUGCGGGAUGCCGGCCUUCGGGUUGUAAACCGCUUUCGCCUGUGACGAAGCGUGAGUGACGGUAAUGGGUAAAGAAGCACCGGCUAACUACGUG